rnacentral:siRNA from 1 species
UAACUAAACCGUACAUUCAACAG